AUCGGGAUAACACCUGGAAACAGAUGCUAAUACCGGAUNAAACAACAGAUGAUGCCUAUCAACUAGUUUAAAAGAUGGUUCUGCUAUCACUUCUUGGAUGGACCUGCGGUGCAUUAGCUAGUUGGUAGGGUAACGGCCUACCAAGGCGAUGAUGCAUAGCCGAGUUGAGAGACUGAUCGGCCACAUUGGGACUGAGACACGGCCCCAGACUCCUACGGGAGGCAGCAGGC
rnacentral:rRNA from 1 species